rnacentral:rRNA from 1 species
UUUCCAGACUCCUACGGGAGGCAGCAGUGGGGAAUAUUGGACAAUGGGGGGAACCCUGAUCCAGCGACGCCGCGUGAGUGAAGAAGUCUUUCGGUAUGUAAAGCUCUAUCAGCAGGGAAGAAAGAAAUGACGGUACCUGACUAAGAAGCCCCGGCUAACUACGUGCCAGCAGCCGCGGUAAUACGUAGGGGGCAAGCGUUAUCCGGAUUUACUGGGUGUAAAGGGAGCGUAGACGGCAAUGCAAGUCUGGAGUGAAAGGCGGGGGCCCAACCCCCGGACUGCUCUGGAAACUGUAUAGCUGGAGUGCAGGAGAGGUAAGUGGAAUUCCUAGUGUAGCGGUGAAAUGCGUAGAUAUUAGGAGGAACACCGGCGGCGAAGGCGGCCUGCUGGACUGCGACUGACGUUGAGGCUCGAAAGCGUGGGGAGCGAACAGGAUUAGAUACCCGUGUA